AAUCAACGCUGGCGGCGUGCCUCAGACAUGCAAGUCGAACGAUUAAACUCGCCUUCGGGUGAGAUAUAAAGUGGCGCACGGGUGAGUAACACGUAAGUAAUCUACCUUCGAGUGGGGAAUAACGUCCGGAAACGGACGCUAAUACCGCAUAAUGCAGCGGCACCUAAUGGUGACAGUUGGUAAAGAUUUAUCGCUUGAAGAGGAGCUUGCGGCAGAUUAGCUAGUUGGUAAGGUAAUGGCUUACCAAGGCUACGAUCUGUAACCGGUCUAAGAGGACGGUCGGUCACACUGACACUGAAUAACGGGUCAGACUCCUACGGGAGGCAGCAGUCGGGAAUUUUGGGCAAUGGGCGAAAGCCUGACCCAGCAACGCCGCGUGAAGGAUGAAGUAUCUCGGUAUGUAAACUUCGAAAGAAUGGGAAGAAUCAAUGACGGUACCAUUUAUAAGCUCCGGCUAACUACGUGCCAGCCGCCGCAGUAAAAC
rnacentral:rRNA from 1 species